GGAAGAGGCGGGACUCGUUAUAGCUUGGCGACGUGAAUACGAAAAGUUGUGUACGGAAGUCUGUAUGAUAUGAACUAAUUUGAGAGUGUUGCAGACUGACUUGUUGCGAUGACGUUUGGAGACCUCACAAACUCCGUUCAGAUACUGACUUGGAGGGAGCUUAACUUCAAACCCCGGCAAUACAAGUCAGCAAGGCUACCGACGGUUCAACCAUGCUGUGGCUGUGGUUAGACUGAGAUGAACUAAAAGGAAGCAGUAAAAUCCUCUACAGUGCAGUGAAAGCAUUCUGAAAACAGCAGCUAUAUACAUAUCACAAAUAAUAAACUUUAAUCCUCACUUAAAGGGGUUGUUCUUUCCA